UACAGAGGUCCCAAGCGUUGUUCGGAUUCAUUGGGCGUAAAGGGUGCGUAGGUGGCGCCGUAAGUCGGGUGUGAAAUUUCGGAGCUUAACUCCGAAACUGCAUUCGAUACUGCGGUGCUUGAGGACUGGAGAGGGGACUGGAAUUCAUGGUGUAGCAGUGAAAUGCGUAGAGAUCAUGAGGAAGACCAGUGGCGAAGGCGGGUCUCUGGACAGUUCCUGACACUGAGGCACGAAGGCCAGGGGAGAAAACGGG
rnacentral:rRNA from 1 species